CAGGUCAUUAUACACUCCCACAAAAAACAACGACCGAAGUUUCGUAUUUUAUUAUGAUAUGGAUUCUUUUGUAAGCUAAAAUACUUAUAUCUCUAAAAUGUAUUUUUUUAUUACUGGAAUAGCAAUUCAAUCAUCAAAUUCUUCUGUUAUUCAAAAUAUUUGUCGUAUUUACGAAACAUUCCACCGCCACCGUGGGUAAAAGCGGCGCAAAUUUUAGAAGUUUACAAGUUAUGGCAUCAGGCUUGAGAAAUAAAAGAAAACUUGAAAAUGAAGAACAGAGUGAAUGUGAAAAGGAAGGAAAGCUUGAAGAAGAAGAAAGUGAACAUGAAAAGGAAACAAAACCUGAAUAUGAAGAACAAAGUAAACCUUCCUCUGCAGCAGAAUGUUCGUUUAAGGUUCAAGAAAGUGGGACUACAGGCUCAUUAGUGGAAGAAGAUGAUAAAACUGACCAAAGUUAUACAGAAGGAAGAUUAACAGAUGGAGAAGAAGGAAAUUUCCCAGCCAGUAAAUGGAAAUAUGUUGAUUUAAAAAACAUGAACGUUCACUACAAUAAAAAACCUGACCCCAUCAAGGAAUUUACGCAGAAUGUUAAAGCUGACGUAUUGGAAAAUUAUCCAAACAUUCCAGAUUUUGAAAAAAAUGUGAAAAGGUUGAGCAGUCUUACCAAAGAGAAUGUGUUGAUUUCUUGCGAGAAAUUAUUUACUUCUUAUGAUCUGAACACAGCAGGAGACGAGCACAAGAACUAUCUAGAAAUUGAAUUGAUGAAAAAAAUACAAAAUGAUUUGGGAAGGAUAAACACAGUAGACGAAGAUUUGGAUUACAGGGAUCUGUUAAAAGUAUGGUACGUAGCUGCCAGGAGGUUUUUGUACUCCACCGUGUCAUUAAUAGGCAGGGUAAUAAAUCCACCUAAAGAGACAGUGGCAGUUCUAAAACAAAAGGAGCUAAUGAAAAGCAAGAAAAAGAAAAGUAAAGGGAAAAGGCAUGCAGGAGGAAGUGCUGAGAGAGAACGACCUGUUGAAAGUGUUUACCUGCAUUAUUUUAUAAAGUUUGCGGAGCUUUUCUUUUUGGAAAACACAGCUGUGGUCAAAAGGUCUUUUGUUUUUGGUGAGAAAAUAGUGAGUAGCACUCCAGAUUUAGAGUACGGAUUUGCUCCAACACCAUCAACUAUGCCAACCAAAAAGGAAAACACACUGUUGUUUGUAGUUGAGGCGAAAGGGAAACCUAUCAACAAUGUUUCGUCUGAAUGUUUGGAAGAUCAACUUGAUGAUGGUGUUCUUAGGCGGGUUGGAUAUGAGCUCAUUGCAAAAAUUCCCUUCUCAGUAAUGUUUCCAAAUACCCUGGGAAUAAUAUGUAUGGAAACCAAAAUAAUAUUUGUUUAUCUGAAAGUAACAAAGGAAGAUUUUGAACUCCUGACUUUGCCACUCAAAAGUCAAGGAAUUAUCCACUAUACCAGAUCUUUUGACAUGCUUAAAGCAGAGGAUAGAGGAGAGAUUUGUGAAUUUCUGUAUUGGCUUGGUUGCAUCCAAAACCGUGACUUAAUGUAGAUUACACGAUCAGAAGCAUAAUUAAAGAAAGAAACUUGUCUUUCCGAUUCCUCCUGAUUUUCGAGAAUAACUUACAAUGAAGGACUGAAAGAAUGGUUGUUCUACCCACUUUGCUAGCAUUUGUUGGUAGAAAGAUAACUAAUAGAACUAAGGAUGCUAGGAGAGGUAAGGUUGCAAAGCAUGCAGUUAAGACAAAACAGAAGAGACACGCCAUGUGAUGAUUUGUUAAUGUGUGGAUCUUUUGUUUUUUAUUUUAACACUGUGUUUCGUACAUUUUGUAAAUUUUAAUUGUCUGCUUAAUAAACAUUAAAAAUAUAUAAUCAUUAUAAUUCAAUUAUUUUAAACUAUUUUGUAUCCAAGUUGAUUUGAUAUAACAUGGUCUAUAUCA